rnacentral:ncRNA from 1 species
CUUACGGGACGACCCGUAAGCGUAUCUUAAAUAUCGGGGACGACCCCA